rnacentral:rRNA from 1 species
UACGUAGGGGCCUAGCGUUGUCCGGAAUCAUUGGGCGUAAAGAGCGUGUAGGCGGCCCGGUAAGUCCGCUGUGAAAGUCCAGGGCUCAACCCUGGGAUGCCGGUGGAUACUGUCGGGCUCGAGUCCGGAAGAGGAGUGUGGAAUUCCUGGUGUAGCGGUGAAAUGCGCAGAUAUCAGGAGGAACACCAAUGGCGAAGGCAGCACUCUGGGACGUGACUGACGCUGAGACGCGAAAGCGUGGGGAGCAAACAGG